UACGAAGGGGGCUAGCGUUGUUCGGAAUCACUGGGCGUAAAGCGCACGCAGGCGGAUUGAUAAGUCAGGGGUGAAAUCCCGGAGCUCAACUUCGGAAUUGCCUUUGGUACUGUCUGUCUUCGAGUUCGGGAGAGGUUGGCGGAAUUCCUAGUGUAGAGGUGAAAUUCGUAGAUAUUAGGAAGAACACCAGUGGCGAAGGCGGCCAACUGGCCCGAUACUGACGCUCAUGUGCGAAAGCGUGGGGAGCAAACAGG
rnacentral:rRNA from 1 species